rnacentral:rRNA from 1 species
AAGUCCGCUAACGAGCGCAACCCUCGCUGUGUGUUACAAGUGUCACACGGUACUGCCGGUCUUAAGCCGGAGGAAGGUGGGGAUGACGUCAAGUCAGCAUGGCCUUUAUGUCCUGGGCUACACACACGCUACAAUGGCCAACACAAUAGGUUGCUAAGCCGCGAGGUGGAGCCAAUCCUCAAAGUUGGUCUCAGUUCAGAUUGCAGGCUGCAACCCGCCUGCAUGAAGAUGGAGUUGCUAGUAACCGCAGGUCAGCUAUACUGCGGUGAAUUACCGGUUCCCGGGGCUU